rnacentral:rRNA from 1 species
UACGAAGGGGGCUAGCGUUGCUCGGAAUUAUUGGGCGUAAAGGGAGCGUAGGCGGUUAGUUCAGUCAGAGGUGAAAUCCCGGGGCUCAACCUCGGAACUGCCUUUGAUACUGGCUAUCUUGAGUAUGGGAGAGGUGUGUGGAACUCCGAGUGUAGAGGUGAAAUUCGUAGAUAUUCGGAAGAACACCAGUGGCGAAGGCGACACACUGGCCCAUUACUGACGCUGAGGCUCGAAAGCGUGGGGAGCAAACAGG